UGUACGUGGUACGGAUCUGAAAGGUGAAGGACUUACUCUUCGGAGUGAGAGCGUACACAGGUGCUGCAUGGCUGUCGUCAGCUCGUGUCGUGAGAUGUGGGUUAAGUCCCGCAACGAGCGCAACCCUGCAUUCAGUUGCCAUCGGUAAGGCCGGGCACUCUGGAUGGACUGCCGGCGACAAGCCGGAGGAAGGUGGGGACGACGUCAAGUCAUCAUGGCCCUUAUGUCCAGGGCGACACACGUGCUACAAUGGCCGGCACAACGGGAAGCGAAGGGGCGACCCUGAGCGGAUCCCACAAAAGCCGGUCCCAGUUCGGAUUGCAGUCUGCAACUCGACUGCAUGAAGUUGGAAUCGCUAGUAAUCGUGGAUCAGCCAAGCCGCGGUGAAUACGUUCCCGGGCCUU
rnacentral:rRNA from 1 species